AAAAAAAGAGAGAGAGAGAGAAAAGGAGUAUUGGGCGAGAUUUACUUGACAAGGGAAGGCAGAAAGACAAGGCACCAGAAACUGUGCAGUAACCUGGUAUGAAAUUACACUAGGCGACUGCAAAAGAACGUGCUCUCGACCUGCCUUUACAGUGCUUCCAAGCCACGGGAGAGUCGGGAAUUGCAUGGAGCUGCCGCUGAGAAUCGCAACAGGGUCACACUAUGAAAACAAACCAUAGCCGUGUCAAUCCAAGGCGCCCGGCUGCUCCGGUUGGCGCACAAGCUGGAGAGCGCAAUGGAGGCCGAGACUAUUCCCGAAGGACUAUGCCGUCAUGGCCAUCGUGAUAGAGUCUAGCCCCACACAGAACUCACAUUAUCACGCUGCUUCAACCCCCCCAAGCCUGACAUAUUACCUUGCUUUUUCAUUUUAUUUCUGGACUGGAAAACUACCUUCUGCUGAUGUGACUUGUUCCCACAAGUGCUAGCAUCAGUUUGCAUUGCUUUGUAAGGUAAGAUCUCUGACAAUUCUCCUGC